rnacentral:rRNA from 1 species
UUUUAUGGAGAGUUUGAUCCUGGCUCAGAGUGAACGCUGGCGGCGUGCCUAAUACAUGCAAGUCGAACGAUGAAGCUUCUAGCUUGCUAGAAGUGGAUUAGUGGCGCACGGGUGAGUAAGGUAUAGUUAAUCUGCCCUACACAAGAGGACAACAGUUGGAAACGACUGCUAAUACUCUAUACUCCUGCUUAACACAAGUUGAGUAGGGAAAGUUUUUCGGUGUAGGAUGAGACUAUAUAGUAUCAGCUAGUUGGUAAGGUAAUGGCUUACCAAGGCUAUGACG